rnacentral:rRNA from 1 species
GGAUUAGAUACCCUGGUAGUCCACGCCGUAAACGGUGGGUACUAGGUGUGGGUUCCUUUUCACGGGAUCCGUGCCGUAGCUAACGCAUUAAGUACCCCGCCUGGGGAGUACGGCCGCAAGGCUAAAACUCAAAGGAAUUGACGGGGGCCCGCACAAGCGGCGGAGCAUGUGGAUUAAUUCGAUGCAACGCGAAGAACCUUACCUGGGUUUGACAUACACCAGACGCGGCUAGAGAUAGUCGUUCCCUUGUGGUUGGUGUACAGGUGGUGCAUGGCUGUCGUCAGCUCGUGCCG